AUACGGAGGAUGCGAGCGUUAUCCGGAUUUAUUGGGUUUAAAGGGUGCGUAGGCUGUGCGUUAAGUCAGGGGUGAAAUGCCGUCGCUCAACGACGGAGCUGCCCUUGAUACUGGCGUGCUGGAGUACGGAUGCCGUUGGAGGAAUGAGUGGUGUAGCGGCGAAAUGCUUAGAUAUCACUCAGAACACCCAUUGCGAAGGCAGCUGACGAAACCGUACCUGACGCGGAGGCACGAAAGCGUGGGGAUAGAACAGGAUUAGAUACCCGGGUAUUCCACGCCGUAAACGAUGAUGACUAACCGCCGGCGAUAGACAGCCGGUGGCCAAGCGAAAGCGAUAAGUCAUCCACCUGGGGAGUACGUCGGCAACGAUGUAACUCAAAUGAAUUGACGGGG
rnacentral:rRNA from 1 species